CUGCUGCCUUCCGUAGGAGUUUGGACUGUGUCUCAGUUCCAAUGUGGGGGACCUUCCUCUCAGAACCCCUACGCAUCGUCGGCUUGGUGGGCCGUUGCCCCACCAACUACCUAAUGCGCCGCAUGCCCAUCCGUGACCGGGGUCGCCCCCUUUGGCCGGCAGGGGAUGUCCCCUCCCGGCAUUAUGUUGUAUUAGGCGGGAUUUCUCCCGGUUAUCCAUCUGUCACGGCCAGGUUGCAUACGUGUUACUCACCCGUGCGCCGGUCGCCGG
rnacentral:rRNA from 1 species